AAGGAAAAAUUAGUGAACAUAUUUCUUUUCCAAUUCCAAUUUCUCUCUCCUUCUUUCCUACUCAAAACAGUCGGAAUCGUAUAUCUACCUCAGCAUUUUUCAAAACAGCUGGGCAAACUCAUUGAUGGUAUCAUGACUAUCAUUAAGGGAGAAAAAGAGUAAGAAGGGAAAAGAAAAGAAAGAGCAGAGCAUGGAAAAUAUCACAGUGCAUUUCACAUGGUAAAGGAAGUCAGAUAUUGCUGUCCUUGGGGUGCUACACACAUAUUACUUACUUACCUGGAUGGAUUCUUUUAACUUUUGAUUUUUGAACACCUGUGUAAAGAUCAACCCCAGGCAGUUUCUAUCAGUAAUGGCCUUGUGGGCAUAUGUGGAUUUCUGUGCAUCGUAAGUGAAGCCAGAGCUCCAGGAGCCAAGCCAUGCACUUUGUCACCUACCAGGUGGGAGGUAAUAAAUGGAGUUCUCUACAAUUUUCUGUGAAUCAAUUGUGUC
rnacentral:lncRNA from 1 species